rnacentral:rRNA from 1 species
UGGGGAAUAUUGCACAAUGGGCGAAAGCCUGAUGCAGCAACGCCGCGUGAGUGAUGAAGGCCCUCGGGUCGUAAAGCUCUUUGAUCAGGGAUGAUAAUGACAGUACCUGAAAAACAAGCCACGGCUAACUACGUGCCAGCAGCCGCGGUAAUACGUAGGUUGCAAGCGUUGUCCGGAUUUACUGGGUGUAAAGGGCGUGUAGGCGGAGAUGCAAGUUGGGAGUGAAAUCCCGGGGCUCAACCCCGGAACUGCUUUCAAAACUGUAUCCCUUGAGUGUCGGAGAGGCAAGCGGAAUUCCUAGUGUAGCGGUGAAAUGCGUAGAUAUUAGGAGGAACACCAGUGGCGAAGGCGGCUUGCUGGACGAUAACUGACGCUGAGGCGCGAAAGCGUGGGGAGCAAACAGG